UACAGAGGUCCCGAGCGUUGUUCGGAUUCACUGGGCGUAAAGGGUGCGUAGGUGGUGAGGUAAGUCGGAUGUGAAAGCUCGGAGCUCAACUCCGAAAUGGCAUUGGAAACUACCUCGCUCGAGGGUUGGAGGGGGGACUGGAAUGCUUGGUGUAGCAGUGAAAUGCGUAGAUAUCAAGCGGAACACCAGUGGCGAAGGCGAGUCCCUGGACAACUCCUGACACUGAGGCACGAAAGCUAGGGGAGCAAACAGG
rnacentral:rRNA from 1 species